rnacentral:rRNA from 1 species
AUUGAACGCUGGCGGCAGGCCUAACACAUGCAAGUCGAGCGGAUGAAGGGAGCUUGCUCCUGGAUUCAGCGGCGGACGGGUGAGUAAUGCCUAGGAAUCUGCCUGGUCGUGGGGGAUAACGUCCGGAAAUGGGCGCUAAUACCGCAUACGUCCUGAGGGAGAAAGUGGGGGAUCUUCGGACCUCACGCUAUCAGAUGAGCCUAGGUCGGAUUAGCUAGUUGGUGGGGUAAAGGCCUACCAAGGCGACGAUCCGUAACUGGUCUGAGAGGAUGAUCAGUCACACUGGAACUGAGACACGGUCCAGACUCCUACGGGAGGCAGCAGUGGGGAAUAUUGGACAAUGGGCGAAAGCCUGAUCCAGCCAUGCCGCGUGUGUGAAGAAGGUCUUCGGAUUGUAAAGCACUUUAAGUUGGGAGGAAGGGCAGUAAGUUAAUACCUUGCUGUUUUGACGUUACCAACAGAAUAAGCACCGGCUAACUUCGUG